GUUAGAGUGAGUGUUAGAGUGAGUGUUAGAGUGAGUCUGCUAGUGAGUGUUAGUGUGUGUGUCUGCUAGUGAGUGUUAGUGUGUUAGUGUGUGUGUCUGCUAGUGAGUGUCAGUGAGGUGUGUUACUGUGUGUGUCUUACUGAGUGUGUGUGUGUUAGUGAGUCUGUUUGAUGUCUGUUAGUGAGUGUGUGUUUGUCAAUGAGAGUGUAUGUUUUGUAAGUGAG